rnacentral:rRNA from 1 species
GUGAGGAAUUUUCCGCAAUGGGCGAAAGCCUGACGGAGCAAUGCCGCGUGAAGGAUGAAGGCCUAUGGGUUGUAAACUUCUUUUCUCAGAAAAGAAUUAUGACGGUAUCUGAGGAAUAAGCAUCGGCUAACUCUGUGCCAGCAGCCGCGGUAAGACAGAGGAUGCAAGCGUUAUUCGGAAUGAUUGGGCGUAAAGCGUCUGUAGGUUGUUUAAAAAGUAUUCUGUCAAAGAUUAGGGCUUAACCCUAGAUAGGCAGAAUAAACUUUUAAGCUAGAGUUUGGUAGAGGCAGAGGGAAUUCCCGGUGGAGCGGUGAAAUGCGUAGAUAUCGGGAGGAACACCAAAGGCGAAGGCACUCUGCUGGGCCAAUACUAACACUGAGAGACGAAAGCGAGGGGAGCAAAUGGGAUUAGAAACCCGAGUAGUCC